GGCUGGUUAGCUGAGUCAGUUAGAGCGUGGUGCUGAUAACACCAAGGCCACGGGUUCAAUUCCCGCUCGGUCC
rnacentral:tRNA from 1 species